rnacentral:misc_RNA from 1 species
GGUCUAUAUGUUGCACACCUGAUCUUGCUAAGCUUGAGGGGUGCAAACAAGGGGAAGUCAUCCGGAGACCAUCAUCUGUGGAUCUGAACUGGCCCAUUAUAUUAAGCACACACUUCAGUGCAAAUUACUUAUCCACAAAGAUGGAAGCCGAAGAAGUUUCUAUUACAAAGACUGGGAUGUAUAACUUGUUCUUCAUCUCCUGUGAUCCAAAACUUAGAGGACUCAUGAUGAGCGGGAAGACAAUCUGGA